GGUCCCAUGGUGUAGCGGUUAGCACUCAGGACUUUGAGUCCUGUGACCCGAGUUUCGUUUCUCGGUGGGACCU
rnacentral:tRNA from 1 species